UCAUCAGAUCGCAGAGAUUCAGAUCCCUGAAUUUUCAUCUGAUCAACGGUAAACUUUCGAGUUCAGGAGGAGCAAUUGCAGGCGGAAAUUUUGUAGGAAGGUGCAGCAGGCUAGCAAUGAAACAACCGUCUAACGUGAUUUUUUUCCAUUGAAAAGGCAGCGAGGAUCGAGUGAUGGAUAGAGACGCAUUAUCUAAAAGCUCAGGAAGUGGACGGAACUAUAUCACGGAUAAGGUAGCGUUUACCGACACACCGGGUUCUUUGGCCUUUCGGACAGCAGAGCAUCGAUGUCCAUUACGACUUAAGAAGCGGGCACAACAGGACGGCACAGCGUUCACAUUGCCCUCGCUGGCCUUACCUAUUUCGCGACUCUAAAUGACAGUCAGCCGGCCCUAUGCAAUAUGAUAACCACAUUCUCUCCCGCGGUCCGUUGAAUUUCGUGCAUAACAAACGGCAUUUUAUACAAGGGCGUAACUACAAUUACAUAGGGUCGCCUCAGUGUUGUCCAAAAUGGUGUACGCCGUCGUGACUCAUAAAGGCACCGUGUAUGUCCGGCGAUCGUACGAAUGAACGGACACGGGAAAACAGGUGCCUAAAAGUGAAUUUUGCGCUAGCUCGAUCUUCACGCAACUACGUUUCAUUCAGGUCUGCGUCAGUCAGAAAAAAUCUAUUGAUGCAACUGAGUGGCGAGUGAAAUGUCUUUCGUAGAAAGUGGUCAGAUGAUUAACACAGCCUAUAUCUAUUAGGAUUUCGUCUUCAAAAUAGCUAUGAAGAUAUAAGACUUUUUUCAUACGGACAUCAAUUGUUUACUUCCUUUAGCUGUUAGUUAUAGAUUGCUUCGGUGCCACUCGAUUAACUCUAUGUAGGAAGAUGCGUUAGACUGGA